AAAACUUAGUUACAAUUCCUUAGGUGUUUUUCGUAUGGUUCUUAACUAAAAAUACAUAUUUUUUGGAUAUAACAAACUUCGAGAAAAUUAUGGAUUUGAAGAAAUCAUGGUAUUUUUAGUUAAGAACCAUACGAAAAGCACCUAAGAAAUUGUACUAAGUUUU
rfam:Medicago truncatula strain A17 chromosome 6, whole genome shotgun sequence.